AGCCAAGCGGUAAGGCAACUGACUUGUAAUCAGUAGGUUGGGGGUUCAAGUCCUCUAGUCGGCACCA
rnacentral:tRNA from 1 species